AGUUGGGUUGACGCAGUUCAUGUAGUGGGCUUGUGCAGAUGGGGCGAAUCAUACAUAUAAUAUUGGCUUUGGCGGUUUAUGCUUUCGUGCCAAGAUUUACGGAAUCUGCAAAAAUACUCGCAGUAUUUCCCUUUACGGGACCUUCGCAGUAUAUAUGUGUGCAGCUUUAUUUGAAGUCAUUGGCGGCACGCGGACAUGAAAUUACUUCGAUUUCAGCGUUUCCGCAAAAAACACCCUUAAAAAACUUUCGUGAUAUAACGUUGAAGGAUGAAUACAAAGAUCAUGAUGAAUUCAUUAUCUCAGCGGUGGAAGAGAAGUCUGAAACUAAAUCAACCCAAUUACGUACGUGGUUCGAAUACUCAAUAAUGGCUUCAUUGCUAGUACUUAAGAACGAAGAAUUCCAACAAUUAUUGCACUCUGACGAACAAUUCGAUCUCAUCAUUAUCGAAGUGUUUUGUCAAGAUUCACUUUACGCAUUGGGUAAACAUUUCAAUGCACCUAUGAUUGGUGUCUCCACAUUUGGCGCAGAUAUUGUGAUCGACCAGUUGGUGGACAACGUUUCGCCGUUAGCAUAUGUACCAGCGCCUAGUGGAACAAAUUUGGAUGUAAUGAAUUUCUGGCAACGCUUAGAUAAUUUAUAUACAAACACCAUGGAGCUUCUGUAUACACAUUUAGUAAUAAUACCGGAACAACAACGGUACUAUGAAAAAUAUUUUCCCAAUGCGACACUGCGCUUAACAGAGGUACGUCGGGACUUUUCUCUAUUGCUGCUCAAUCAACAUUAUUCGUUCAGUUGGCCGCGUCCACUGGUGCCGAAUGCAAUCGAGGUGGCUGGUAUACAUGUUGAAAACAAACCGAAGAAACUACCAACGGACAUGGAAGCUUUUAUUAAUGCCUCUGCAAAAGGUGCUAUUUACUUCUCGCUCGGCUCGAAUGUGAAGAGCGCAUUAUUGCCGAAACAAAAACUGCAAGAGAUUAUGAACGCAUUUGCUUCAUUACCCGUCAACGUGUUGUGGAAAUUUGAGAAGACGGAUCUGGCGGGUAAACCUAAGAAUGUCUUCAUUAACAAAUGGUUUCCACAAUCGGACGUACUUGCCCAUCCUAAAGUAAAAUUGUUCGUUACACAUGGUGGUAUGCACAGUCUGAUUGAGGCGGUACAUCAUGCUAAACCGAUUGUUGGCACCCCAGUCUUUUACGAUCAAUAUUUGAACGUUGAAAAAGCAGUGAGUAAAGGUUUUGGUGUUGCAGUAAACUUCCGAAAUUUCACCAGCAUCGAGCUGCGCGAUGCCAUCCUAGAGGUGUUGAAUAAUCCCAAGUACACCGAAAGAGCGCAAAAGAUCUCUGCUAGUUUCCAUGAUCGACCUAUGAAACCGCUCGAUGCAGCAAUCUAUUGGACUGAGUAUGUGCUAAGACAUAAGGGAGCGCCACAAUUGCGUGUAGCUGCACGUCACUUGAAUUUCUUACAGCGCCAUAGUGUGGAUACAAUGGCUGUGUUGUUUGGUAUUCCAUUGUUGUUGGCUAUAUUUAUAACCCGUUGGAUUUACAGUUUAUUAUUGGUAGUAUUGCUAAGUAAAGAUCGUUCGAACAAUAAGAAAAAGAAUGAGUAAAAUGUCGAAUUUUAAUAAGUCUGGGUUUACACACGAAAACGUUUGUUGUCAAAACUCACAGUUUUUUGUCGCGGUUACAUCGAAAAAAUACGAGGUGCACCAAGUUGGUCGUUCAACAUUCGUUUUAGAAUUAUUUUAUUUCAGUAAUAGAUAAAAAUUAAUUAAUAUGAAUUAAUGGUAGCAAUCAUAGAGUAAAUUUAAUCAAUUAAUCAAUUUACAUAUUGUAUAUACACCGAUAAUACUUGCUGUAUUGCGUUAUUUCUAUUACAUGCUAAAUGAGUGUGCGAUAUUUGUAUAUUCUCUUGUUCCACUGAUGCCGUCUAUAUAUUUUUAUUGAUUUUUAAUAAUUGAAGCGACUUGACUGAGACUGUUUGAAAACUGAUUAAUAAUAAGCUGUUUUCAACUUGCUCUUCAUCACUUCUGUCACUACAGUCGCUAGAUUUCAAUGUGGAAAUUAUAUUUCUUUGGUUGUAUUUAUACUGAAUAUAUCUUAUUUGAAUUAACUAGGUUGAUUUUUAUAAAAAUAUCUCGGAUACGAAGCUGAAUAUUGUAAUGAAAGUGCGAGAGUCUAUGAACUAGAAUAUAAGUUCAGAGGUACAUCUGGUCGAUAGGAAAAUAUAGCAAACUUUUUAUAGAAAAAAUUAAAGUUUUUCAAAUUUCCAACUGAACUUAAAAGAGGCUACACUUUUAAAACUCAAAAUAUAUUUGAUAAAUACAUUCAAAAUUGUAUUAUGGUAUAUUUAAAGGUACAUAUAUACCAUGGGUAGCUGCACCCAUAUCUCGUGACCUACGCGCUGUACUUUUGUCGUCUACUUCCUAUAUAGCAGAAUUUUUAAUUAUUUACUGCCCUUUAACUUUCUUCUGAGAUGUGCCACCUUGCGGUGAAAAAUUGUUCAGGUGAAAACUAUUCAAGCUCCCAUAUACCGAAUACGCGGACCGCAUUUCUUAUUGCAAACUUUUUACCGAAAAUGCCAGCUAACCUGUCAUAUGUACUACUGAAAUUCGUAAAGAAUUUUUGCAUUUUGCAAGAGUUUGAAAUGUUGUGUUACACCCGAACUUAGCCUAUCCUUACUUGUUUCAUAUAUGUUUGUGUAAUAUUCAAAGUUUCUGUAUUAUUUUGAUAGCAGAAAUGUUAAAUAACAUUUUUAUCACAUCAAGCAAAAAUUUUUUGUUGUGGGAAAACUUGUAACUAACCUUCUGUCUAACGCGAAUAAAUUGGUCUGGCAUUUCAAAUAAAGUUUCAAUGUAUAAAUUUAA